rnacentral:lncRNA from 1 species
CGACAACAACAACAACAACAACAACAACUACUACUACUACUACUACAACACCAAGAAUAGCAACAACUACUAAAACAGCAAGAACAACAACGACGACGACGAGAACAAGAACAAGAACAACGACAACGACAACAACAACAACAAGAACAACAACAACAACAACAACAACAACAACAACCACAACAACAACAACAACAACAACAACAACAACAACAAUAACGAUGACGACGACUAUGACGACAACGAAGAAUAAGAACAUCAUCAUAAUCAUCAACAACAACAACAACAAG